rnacentral:snoRNA from 1 species
UUCCAUUGCUACUGGUCUACAGCUGUUAUGGACACAGUUGUGACAUGCCUCUCUGGGAAACUGUUAAUACAAUUAAACAUCUCCUUCUUAGCAAAACAGAAAGUAGGUCUAUGUGUUACAGAUACAA